GAAAUCAAAACAACAAUAGAAAAUAUACUAUUAAAGGAAAUACAUACAAACAACAGUAGAGUUAAUUAAAUAAUCAAUAUCAACAUUUAACAUCAAUUACUACUUACUCAUCAAGAAAUAAGAAUGUUACCUAUUGCUCAUCCACUUUUAGACAAAAUUACCAAUUCGUUACUUAUUUAAAAUUCAUCCAUCCACGAGGACAAAAAGAUAUACGUGGCAGAUGGAAAUCCUACUUGUUAAUAAUAGUGUAAAUUAUGCUACACAAACAAACUCAAAGAUAGACUAAAAAAGGCGAACAUGUGUCAACAUAGGAUUGGACAAUUUGAAAAAUAAAAUAAAAAAAUAUCCAAACACGUGCUGCCAAUUCAGUCUGUCCAACUUUUGCCUAUCUCUGAGUGCAUUCAAUCAUCAUUAUUCUAAUAAAAUUGUGCUAUACAAACUAACUCAAAGACAAACUUAAAAAAGGGUGAACAUGUAUGGGCAUAGGAUUGGACAGUUUGAAAAAAAAGAAACACACACACACAAAUAUCCAACCACGUGCCGCCAAUUCAGUUUUUCCAACUUUUACUUGUCUUUGAAUAUGUUCGACCAUCAUUAGUGUUAAACUAUUGGACAGCUCAGACAAAAAAUUAAUUAACAAAAGUAACUUAUUCCUUACCAAUUUGAAAGAAUGUUUUUCCCAAAAUCAAGAUUCAAUUCUCCCAAAUCUUCACAAGUCUAAACGAUUUCUUCUCCAUAACCUAAUUCAAUUCUUCCCCAAAUCAGGCCCAAACCAUUUCUUCUCCCUAUUUGCAAGAAACAAUUGCAUAUUGAACUUCAAAUUGAAAACCCCACAAAUUCAUAUAAACCCUAAUUUCCUCUACCAAAAAAGAUAUUCAAAUUGAGCCCUACAAAAAGUGUCAAAAUCUUUCCAGAAGCUGCAUGCGUACACAGAUAAGCUCUGCCAUUGUGAAAAGGAAUCGGUUAAUAGGGGAAGCAAAGUAAAUAUAUCAUACAAGAAAAAAUGCAGAACUCUUUCUUCCCCACUUUGCUUUUGGUUACGUAUGAAUUUGUGGUGAUUUGGAAUCGUUUCAAUUAGGGGAUUCAUAAAUGGAUGGAUUUUAAAUGAGUGAUGGAUGUAUGACUAUGUAUAAAAGUGAAUGAGCAACAUGUAAUAUUUCAUUUAUCAGUGAGCAAGUAACAACCAAAGCUAAAUAUUAGCAAUUGAUCAUUUAAUUAACUCACAGCAAUAUAUGAAGAAGAAUUUGAAAAUGUAAGGAUUAUGUUUUAUUGUGGAUUCCAUAAACCAUAGACCUAUAUGAUCAUCAAUAAUGUUUCAUUGCACUACAGAUACAUCUUGCUGAAGCCAUUUUACCUGCGAACCUUUCAUCUGAGAGAGCUAAUCACUUCAUAGUUAUCUAUUGAUAGAGGUGAUUCAAGUGGUUUUCCAACUUCUAUCACUCGAUAUGCUAAUAAGAUUUCACAUGACUCAGAGGACUUAUAUUGUUGACCUCCGAAAAUGGUCAACGGGUGUCGUUAGAAGAUAAUGUACAUGUGGACACGUUUGCAAUGUUUCUAUUGUAAACAUGAGGGUUUGAGGAAGAAGAUAUAGAGAUAAUGGGGAGAUAUAUUAUCUUCUCUUUUUCAUUCCAAU
rnacentral:lncRNA from 1 species